CACGGCGGGGCUGCAGACGCACACGGCAGCGCGGAUUUGGGGUUAUUUCCUCUACUUUUGGUGAUCGUACCCUCAAAAGAGCAAACUACUCAUAUCAGAUCUCUUGGUUGGAUAUAGGAAUAGAAGACUAAAGAUCAGUCUGCAGCUAUUUCUUUGCAAGAAAACAAACCAGAAAUAAAGCAGCCACAGUGGAGACUUCAUCAGCAAACAAUGACAAGACAAAGACAUCGUGAGAAGGGAAACCAAGAGCCACCACAAGGGUAAAGCAUGCUCCUCUUCCAACAGUGCAC